UACGGAGGGGGCGAGCGUUAUUCGGAAUUAUUGGGCGUAAAGGGCGCGUAGGCGGCUUGAUGUGUCAAAGGUGAAAUCCCUCGGCUCAACUGAGGAACUGCCUUUGAAACUGUCUGGCUUGAGGCCGGGAGAGGGUAGCGGAAUUCCCAGUGUAGCGGUGAAAUGCGUAGAUACUGGGAGGAACACCGGUGGCGACGGCGGCUACCUGGACCGGUUCUGACGCUGAUGCGCGAAAGCGUGGGUAGCAAACAGG
rnacentral:rRNA from 1 species